UACGGAGGGUGCAAGCGUUAUCCGGAAUCAUUGGGUUUAAAGGGUCCGCAGGCGGUCUUAUAAGUCAGUGGUGAAAUCUCUCAGCUUAACUGAGAAACUGCCAUUGAUACUGUAGGACUUGAAUUUGGUCGAAGUGGGCGGAAUAUGACAUGUAGCGGUGAAAUGCAUAGAUAUGUCAUAGAACACCGAUAGCGAAGGCAGCUCACUAGGCCAACAUGACGCUCAUGGACGAAAGCGUGGGGAGCAAACAGGAUUGAGAUACC
rnacentral:rRNA from 1 species